UGUGCUAAUACCGCAUAAUCUCUGAGGAGAAAAGCAGGGGAUCGCAAGACCUUGCGCUUUUGGAGCGGCCGAUGCCUGAUUAGCUUGUUGGUGAGGUAAAAGCUCACCAAGGCUUCGAUCAGUAGCUGGUCUGAGAGGACGACCAGCCACACUGGGACUGAGACACGGCCCAGACUCCUACGGGAGGCAGCAGUGGGGAAUUUUGGACAAUGGGGGCAACCCUGAUCCAGCCAUGCCGCGUGAGUGAAGAAGGCCUUCGGGUUGUAAAGCUCUUUCAGCCGGAACGAAACGGUCACGGUUAAUACCCGUGACUACUGACGGUACCGGAAGAAGAAGCACCGGCUAACUACGUGCCAGCAGCCGCGGUAAUACGUAGGGUGCGAGCGUUAAUCGGAAUUACUGGGCGUAAAGCGUGCGCAGGUGGUUUUGUAAGUCAGAUGUGAAAUCCCCGGGCUUAACCUGGGAACUGCGUUUGAAACUACAAGGCUAGAGUGUGGCAGAGGGGGGUGGAAUUCCGCGUGUAGCAGUGAAAUGCGUAGAGAUGUGGAGGAACACCGAUGGCGAAGGCAGCCCCCUGGGUCAACACUGACGCUCAGGCACGAAAGCAUGGGGAGCAAACAGGAUUAGAUACCCUGGUAGUCCAUGCCCUAAACGAUGUCAACUAGUUGUCGGGUCUUAACGGGCUUGGUAACGUAGCUAACGCGUGAAGUUGACCGCCUGGGGAGUACGAUCGCAAGAUUAAAACUCAAAGGAAUUGACGGGGACCCGCACAAGCGGUGGAUUAUGUGGAUUAAUUCGAUGCAACGCGAAAAACCUUACCUACCCUUGACAUGUAUUGAAACCCGCAGAGAUGUGGGUGUGCCCGAAAGGGAACGAUAACACAGGUGCUGCAUGGCUGUCGUCAGCUCGUGUCGUGAGAUGUUGGGUUAAGUCCCGCAACGAGCGCAACCCUUGUCAUUAAUUGCCAUCAUUUAGUUGGGCACUUUAAUGAGACUGCCGGUGACAAACCGGAGGAAGGUGGGGAUGACGUCAAGUCCUCAUGGCCCUUAUGGGUAGGGCUUCACACGUAA
rnacentral:rRNA from 1 species